CCUACGGGAGGCAGCAGUGGGGAAUAUUGCACAAUGGGCGAAAGCCUGAUGCAGCGACGCCGCGUGAGGGAUGAAGGCCUUCGGGUUGUAAACCUCUUUCAGCAGGGACGAAGCGCAAGUGACGGUACCUGCAGAAGAAGCACCGGCUAACUACGUGCCAGCAGCCGCGGUAAUACGUAGGGUGCGAGCGUUGUCCGGAAUUACUGGGCGUAAAGAGUUCGUAGGCGGUUUGUCGCGUCGUUUGUGAAAACCCGGGGCUCAACUUCGGGCUUGCAGGCGAUACGGGCAGACUUGAGUGUUUCAGGGGAGACUGGAAUUCCUGGUGUAGCGGUGAAAUGCGCAGAUAUCAGGAGGAACACCGGUGGCGAAGGCGGGUCUCUGGGAAACAACUGACGCUGAGGAACGAAAGCGUGGGUAGCAAACAGGAUUAGAUACCCUGGUAGUCCACGCCGUAAACGGUGGGCGCUAGGUGUGGGUUCCUUCCACGGAAUCUGUGCCGUAGCUAACGCAUUAAGCG
rnacentral:rRNA from 1 species